UGUGGAUUUAGUAUAAGGGUAGUAUCUUUGGCUUCCGUCAAAAAGGUGCGGGUUCGAAUCCUGCAAUCCAUAU
rnacentral:tRNA from 2 species